AAAAGUUGAGCCUGGUCUGUGGUUGUUGCAAUAGGCAGGGGAUUUUAAAAAGUUGAGCCUGGUCUGUGGUUGUUGCAAUAGGCAGGGGGUUUUAAAAAGUUGAGCCUGGUCUGUGGUUGUUGCAAUAGGCAGGGGAUUUUAAAAAGUUGAGCCUGGUCUGUGGUUGUUGCAAUAGGCAGGGGAUUUAAAAAGUUGAGCCUGGUCUGUGGUUGUUGCAAUAGGCAGGGGAUUUUAAAAAUUGAGCCUGGUCUGUGGUUGUUGCAAUAGGCAGGGAUUUUAAAAAGUUGAGCCUGGUCUGUGGUUUUGCAAUAGGCAGGGGAUUUUAAAAGUUGAGCCUGGUCUGUGGUUGUUGCAAUAGGCAGGGGAUUUU
ensembl:lncRNA